rnacentral:rRNA from 1 species
GAUGAACGCUGGCGGCGUGCCUAAUACAUGCAAGUCGAGCGAACGGACGAGAAGCUUGCUUCUCUGAUGUUAGCGGCGGACGGGUGAGUAACACGUGGAUAACCUACCUAUAAGACUGGGAUAACUUCGGGAAACCGGAGCUAAUACCGGAUAAUAUUUUGAACCGCACGGUUCAAAAGUGAAAGACGGUCUUGCUGUCACUUAUAGAUGGAUCCGCGCUGCAUUAGCUAGUUGGUAAGGUAACGGCUUACCAAGGCAACGAUGCAUAGCCGACCUGAGAGGGUGAUCGGCCACACUGGAACUGAGACACGGUCCAGACUCCUACGGGAGGCAGCAGUAGGGAAUCUUCCGCAAUGGGCGAAAGCCUGACGGAGCAACGCCGCGUGAGUGAUGAAGGUCUUCGGAUCGUAAAACUCUGUUAUUAGGGAAGAACAUAUGUGUAAGUAACUGUGCACAUCUUGACGGUACCUAAUCAGAAAGCCACGGCUAACUACG